rnacentral:rRNA from 1 species
UACAGAGGUCUCAAGCGUUGUUCGGAUUCAUUGGGCGUAAAGGGUGCGUAGGCGGCGCGGUAAGUCGGGUGUGAAAUCUCGGGGCUUAACUCCGAAACUGCAUUCGAUACUGCCGUGCUUGAGGACUGGAGAGGAGACUGGAAUUUACGGUGUAGCGGUGAAAUGCGUAGAUAUCGUAAGGAAGACCAGUGGCGAAGGCGGGUCUCUGGACAUGUAUUGACGCUGAGGUACGAAAGCGUGGGGAGCAAACAGG